AGUGAACGCUGGCGGUAGGCCUAACACAUGCAAGUCGAACGGCAGCACAGUAAGAGCUUGCUCUUACGGGUGGCGAGUGGCGGACGGGUGAGGAAUACAUCGGAAUCUACUUUUUCGUGGGGGAUAACGUAGGGAAACUUACGCUAAUACCGCAUACGACCUACGGGUGAAAGCAGGGGAUCUUCGGACCUUGCGCGAUUGAAUGAGCCGAUGUCGGAUUAGCUAGUUGGCGGGGUAAAGGCCCACCAAGGCGACGAUCCGUAGCUGGUCUGAGAGGAUGAGCAGCAACACUGGAACUGAGACACGGUCCAGACUCCUACGGGAGGCAGCAGUGGGGAAUAUUGGACAAUGGGCGCAAGCCUGAUCCAGCCAUACCGCGUGGGUGAAGAAGGCCUUCGGGUUGUAAAGCCCUUUUGUUGGGAAAGAAAAGCAGCAGGUUAAUACCCCGCUGUUCUGACGGUACCCAAAGAAUAAGCACCGGCUAACUUCGUG
rnacentral:rRNA from 1 species